UACGUAGGGUGCAAGCGUUGUCCGGAAUUAUUGGCGUAAAGAGCUCGUAGGCGGUUUGUCGCGUCUGCUGUGAAAACUCGGGCUUAACUCCGGGCCUGCAGUGGGUACGGGCAGACUAGAGUGCGGUAGGGGAGACUGGAAUUCCUGGUGUAGCGGUAAAAUGCGCAGAUAUAGGAGGAACACCAAUGGCGAAGGCAGCACUCU
rnacentral:rRNA from 1 species